rnacentral:rRNA from 1 species
ACACGUAUGAAAGACAAGCUGAAAGACUUUUCUCAAUGAUGUAAGUGGUGGUGCAUGGUCGUUCGUAGUUCGUGGAUUGAUUUGUCUGGUCUAUUCCGAUAACGAGCGAGACCCCGGCGUUCCUAAUAGGGGCGGCAGCCCGGCUUGCCUCACGGCUUGCUAGCAGCCGCUUAAGAUUUACUUCUUAGACGUAUCAGAGCCGAUAAGGUUCUUGAAAUGGGUUAAUAACAGGUCAGUCAUGCCCUUAGAUGUUCUGGGCCGCACGCGCGUUACAAUGGUAUGUAUAGAGAGUGCCUAUAAGGGCGUAUCCGGGGCCUGACGGUCCCGGUAACCCAUAAUCCCUGCCUUGACUGGGAUAGACUAUUGCAAUUAUUGGUCUUCAACGAGGAAUUUUUAGUAGUCGCAGGUCAUUAACCUGCGACGA